rnacentral:rRNA from 1 species
AUUUUGGACAAUGGGCGAAAGCCUGACGCAGCAACGCCGCGUGCGGGAGGACGGCCUCNGGGUUGNANACCGCUUUUCGAGGGGANGCGGAAGGACGGUACCCUCGGAAUAAGUCCCGGCUAACUACGUGCCAGCAGCCGCGGUAAAACGUAGGAGGCGAGCGUUAUCCGGAUUUACUGGGUGUAAAGCGCGUGCAGGCGGCCGCGCAAGUCGUGCGUGAAAGCGCCCGGCUCAACCGGGCGAGGUGGUGCGAAACUGCGGGGCUUGAGGCAGGUAGAGGCGUGUGGAAUUCCGGGUGUAGUGGUGAAAUGCGUAGAGAUCCGGAGGAACACCAGUGGCGAAGGCGGCACGCUGGGCCUGGCCUGACGCUCAGACGCGAAAGCACGGGGAGCGAACGGG